rnacentral:rRNA from 1 species
GUUUACGGCCAUACCACCCUGAACACGCCUGAUCUCGGAAGCUAAGCAGGGUCGGGCCUGGUCAGUACUUGGAUGGGAGACCGCCUGGGAAUACCAGGUGCUGUAAGCU